rnacentral:rRNA from 1 species
UUUUGUAAAAUUAAAGAUUUUGGCGGUAUUUUAGUCUUUUCAGAGGAACCUGUUUAUUAAUUGAUAGUCCACGAUUAGAUUUACUUUUCUUAUUAGUUUGCAUAUCGUCGUUUUUAAUAAUUCUAAAAGAUUUUUUCAGAUCAAGGUGUAGUUUAUAGAAAAGUUUGAAUGGGUUACAUUUUAAAUGGCAGGUAAAUUGGAUUUGAAAGUAAGCUCUAGAAUAUGUACAUAUCGCCCGUCGCUUUCAUUAUAAGGUGGAAUAAGUCGUAACAAAGUAGACUUAUUGGAAAAUGAGUCUAGAAAGCAAAUUAGAGCUUUAAAAGCAUUUUAUUUACAUUAAGAAGUUACUUUGCAGUUUGGUUUGAUCGGAUUAGUUUAUUAAUAUUUUUGUUUAUUUUUAUUUAUUAGAAUUAUAUGUUUUUAAUUUUUUUAUUGAAUAGAUUUUAUUAUAGUUAAUUGUACAGAUAUGGAAUAUUUUAUGAUUGUAGAAGAAGAAUUUUUUUUGUACCUUGUGUAUCAGGGUUGAUUUAUAUAAAUGUCCCGAAUUAAGAUGAUUUAAUUUUAUUGUGGAAUAAAUAUUUAUAAUUUUAUAUUGGAAAUUAAAUGUUAUUCGGUUCUUAAUAUAUCUGGUUUUCUGAGAAAUUAAUUUAAUUAAUUAUUUUAAAUGAAAUUAUCGCGGGAUGAGCUGUGCAAUAAAAUUUUAUAAUUAUAUUGUUUUUAAUGUUUUGUAGGAAUAGAAUUUUCCAUCUUUAGAAGUUUUUAAUAAAUUUAGUUUAGUUUUUUAUCAGGAUAUUUUGUUUAAUUUUAUUUCUUUUGUUAUAAUGAUUUAAUUAGUAAGACAUGGAUAAGGAAUUCGGCAAAUUUAAUUUUCACCUGUUUAUUAAAAACAUGUCCUUUUGUUAUUUUAUAAGGUCUGGCCUGCCCAAUGAUUUAAUGGCCGCAGUAUAUUGACUGUGCAAAGGUAGCAUAAUCAUUAGUUCUUUUAUUGAGAGCUUGUAUGAAUGGUUGGAUGAGAAAUUGACUGUCUCGUGAAUUUUAUUUUUAAGUAAGAAAGCUUAAAUGUUUUAGAAAGACGAGAAGACCCUAUAGAGUUUUUUUGUUGGGGUGAUGUGAAAAUUAAAUUAACUUUUCAUUUUUAUGAUUAUGUGAUCCUAGAUUAUAAGAUUAAAUUACCUUAGGGAUAACAGCGUAAUUUUUCUUGGGAGUUCUUAUCU